AGCAGCCGCGGUAAUUCCAGCUCCAAUAGCGUAUAUUAAAGUUGCUGCAGUUAAAAGCUCGUAGUUGAAUUUCGGGACCAUCAUGUUGGUCGUGCCUCGGUACGUACUGGCAUUGUUGGUUUCUCCCUUCUGACGAACCAUGAUGUCAUUUAUUUGGUGUCGUGGGAAAUCAGGACUGUUACUUUGAAAAAUUAGAGUGUUUAAAGCAGGCUCACGCUUGAAUACAUUAGCAUGGAAUAAUGAAAUAGGACGUUUGAUUCUAUUUUGUUGGUUUCUAGGAUCGACGUAAUGAUUAAUAGGGAUAGUUGGGGGCAUUAGUAUUCAAUUGUCAGAGGUGAAAUUCUUGGAUUUAUUGAAGACUAACUACUGCGAAAGCAUUUGCCAAGGAUGUUUUCAUUAAUCAAGAACGAAAGUUAGGGGAUCGAAGACGAUCAGAUACCGUCGUAGUCUUAACCAUAAACUAUGCCGACUAGGGAUCGGAUGAUGUUUAAUUUUUAAUGUACUCAUUCGGUACCG
rnacentral:misc_RNA from 1 species